UGGGGAAUAUUGCACAAUGGGCGCAAGCCUGAUGCAGCGACGCCGCGUGAGGGAUGACGGCCUUCGGGUUGUAAACCUCUUUCAGUACCGACGAAGCGUAAGUGACGGUAGGUACAGAAGAAGCACCGGCCAACUACGUGCCAGCAGCCGCGGUAAUACGUAGGGUGCGAGCGUUGUCCGGAAUUACUGGGCGUAAAGAGCUCGUAGGUGGUUUGUCGCGUUGUUCGUGAAAACCUGAGGCUUAACCUUGGGCGUGCGGGCGAUACGGGCAGACUGGAGUACUGCAGGGGAGACUGGAAUUCCUGGUGUAGCGGUGGAAUGCGCAGAUAUCAGGAGGAACACCGGUGGCGAAGGCGGGUCUCUGGGCAGUAACUGACGCUGAGGAGCGAAAGCGUGGGGAGCGAACAGG
rnacentral:rRNA from 1 species